GUACACUCCUACGGGAGGCAGCAGUGGGGAAUUUUGGACAAUGGGCGAAAGCCUGAUCCAGCCAUGCCGCGUGCAGGAUGAAGGCCUUCGGGUUGUAAACUGCUUUUGUACGGAACGAAACGGCCUUUUCUAAUAAAGAGGGCUAAUGACGGUACCGUAAGAAUAAGCACCGGCUAACUACGUGCCAGCAGCCGCGGUAAUACGUAGGGUGCAAGCGUUAAUCGGAAUUACUGGGCGUAAAGCGUGCGCAGGCGGUUAUGUAAGACAGUUGUGAAAUCCCCGGGCUCAACCUGGGAACUGCAUCUGUGACUGCAUAGCUAGAGUACGGUAGAGGGGGAUGGAAUUCCGCGUGUAGCAGUGAAAUGCGUAGAUAUGCGGAGGAACACCGAUGGCGAAGGCAAUCCCCUGGACCUGUACUGACGCUCAUGCACGAAAGCGUGGGGAGCAAACAGGAUUAGAUACCCGGGUAGUCCCAUGAU
rnacentral:rRNA from 1 species